UCCGGGAGUAAUUGACACUUUGGUGCUAU
rnacentral:piRNA from 1 species